UGUUCUGCGGAAUCAGCAGGGGAGCAUCAUUCCAGAUUCAUACUUCUAAACUCUUAGGUAAAUCUGUGGCAAGGAAUACCACAUAGCAGGCAUGUGCUCAGGGUGUGAUUUGUGAAUAAAACAAGCCCAAGCAAGAAUGCUGCCAGAACGAGGGUCGGGCACAAGUUAGGGCCAAUCUCUCUCAACGUUCUGUUUUAAGCUUGCUGGAACAUCCUGCAUGUUGCAGCGUGCCACUGCUCUGCCUUAUCACUGCUCUGCUACUUUUAGGAUGCAUAAUCUUUCUGUGCAACCAGAGAGGUGUGGGAGAGGAACGUCCCUUGAACUUAAAGUGAAAAGGGGAAUCUAUGUGAGUUCAUCAUCCUGGGGAUUAUGAUUUCCUUCUCUAACAGGCUGAUGAUCAACGCUAAAGGGGGAGAUCGCUGAGAAUGCAUCAUAUCAGCUUUCAGCGUCAUUGGGAAAGGCUUCUGGGAAUCUCAGCGCACAACAAUAUACAAUAUGUAACCUAUUAUUACCUAUUAAAUGCCUGAUGUCAGACUA